CUUUCGGGCUUCGACCGGCGUACGGGUGCGUAACGCGUAUACAAUCUGCCUUUCACAUAGGGAUAGCCCGAAGAAAUUUGGAUUAAUACCUAAUGGUAUAUAGGAGUGGCAUCACAUUUAUAUUAAAGCUGAGGCGGUGAAAGAUGAGUAUGCGUUCUAUUAGCUAGUUGGAGAGGUAACGGCUCCCCAAGGCGACGAUAGAUAGGGGUUCUGAGAGGGAUAUCCCCCACACUGGUACUGAGAUACGGACCAGACUCCUACGGGAGGCAGCAGUGAGGAAUAUUGGACAAUGGUCGGAAGACUGAUCCAGCCAUGCCGCGUGCAGGAAGACGGCCUUAUGGGUUGUAAACUGCUUUUGCAGGGGAAGAAUAAGGAGUACGUGUACUUUGAUGACGGUACUCUGCGAAUAAGCAUCGGCUAACUCCGUGCCAGCAGCCGCGGUAAUACGGAGGAUGCGAGCGUUAUCCGGAAUCAUUGGGUUUAAAGGGUCCGUAGGCGGGCUAAUAAGUCAGAGGUGAAAGCGCUCAGCUCAACUGAGCAACUGCCUUUGAAACUGUUAGUCUUGAAUGGUUGUGAAGUAGUUGGAAUGUGUAGUGUAGCGGUGAAAUGCUUAGAUAUUACACAGAACACCGAUAGCGAAGGCAUAUUACUAACAAUUAAUUGACGCUGAUGGACGAAAGCGUGGGGAGCGAACAGGAUUAGAUACCCUGGUAGUCCACGCUGUAAACGAUGGAUACUAGCUGUUUGGUUGUUAAGACUGAG
rnacentral:rRNA from 1 species